UUAUCACGCGGGUGUGCUGUGUGCCGCGCCGCGGGUAGCUCGCGUGGUGCUACCGGUUCACCCACCGACGACGAUCCACCACCUCUCGCAUACGCUUCGACGACACCGAGCAGCAGACGAGAAUUAUAUACAUAGCGGUAGCGAAGCGCGCGAGAGAGAGAGAGAGAAAAGAGCGCCCACGAGAGAAGGAAGGAAGGAAGGAAGGAAAGGGGCUGGAGGAGACGCGCGCGCCUCGCCACGACCGAUCACUUAAGACGCCCACAGCUAGUGCGCACCACACCUUGUGUAACGUCGCCGCGUGCGCGCGUAUGUGCUAGCACACACGUCACCCCCUUGACCAUCACCCAUAGAGAAAGAGAGAGAGAGAGAGAGAGAGGCCACCCACCCACCCUCCUGCCAAGGAGAGCAUCGCAACCCCUUCUCGGCGCAGCAGCAGCAAACGGAGCCGGAGAAAGAUAAGGCGCACGUGAGAGAGAGCAGCAGCAGCAGCAGCAGCUAGCUCAGAUCUCUCUCAAACGCGCGCUGACCACCGAACAAGGAGGACACGCGGCGUGUGUCCGCGAUUAUUCAACCAACUUCGCUUCUUCUAAUCAACUCGAGCCGGUUGUGCAUUGCAACAACAGUGUCUUUUUCUAACUCCGGUGUGCUCUCUCAGUGAGUGGGUGUUGUUCUUCGUCUUCUUUUAUUGUGAUUUUAUCGCAAUUUUUCAACAACGAUUCGUCUUUAGUGCCACUUACAGUUUUUUCCAAUUUUUCAUUUUUCUCGCAAGAACAUGUGGUGCUACUGAAUUUUAACCAAAUAUAGUAAAGCGCUUAACAAUCGAGUGCAAAGUUAUACGUUCACCGUUGCAGCGAAUAGUGAAGUACAGUUCUCGGUCGAAGGGGACAUGACUCGUCGAUAAUUGGUGUUUUUUUUCUUUUGCGUAAAAUUAAAAGUACACACCAGUGACACAUGCGUUAACUAACAUUGUUCAUAAGAUUCAUCGUAUAAGGUUCUGAGCCCUCGUGAUCUGGCUGUGCAAUACGGAUAUAGCGGCCCAAAGGAGAACCACAUCUUGAGCAUCGGCAAGAUCGCAACAACUAUCCAGUCGAAAAUCAAAGUAACGAAGCAUCUUGGAUGAACAGAUCGAGCAAGCACUAAUCAAACUAGCGUAAGUGAAAGCGCGGGCGCGUGUGGGGGUGGGGCAAACAGCCCUUUGGCUCGCUCGAAGAAAUGCAGCUCCCCGGAGGGAGCAGGAGAUCCGCAGGACCAGUGCCUAAGAGCAAGAGCGCAAGACAGCAGCAGCGAGCAGCGGCCACGGGCCAGGCAAAUUGGCUUGAUGCCGACUUGAUCAGCGUUAAAAGCGGCAGAAUCAGCAAGAAGAAUCGCGGCAGGUGUCGUUCGGGCAGUCAGCGGGCGCCAAAGCAGGACAGCUCGCUGGGCCCGAUUCCACGGCGGAAGGAUCGGCCCACGGAAUAGUGCAGCCGAGGUGCAGCCACAAUCAUCGUCGUCAUUGCCAUCAGGUAGCAAGCAACGCGUGGUCGCGUGCCGCCAACUCAGUAGCAGCAGCCAAGCAUCGAAAUUCGCGAAAGAAGCGAAGAGUGGGAGAAGGCUGGGCACAAGCAGCGCAAGACAGAAAGAGAGAGAAGCGGAGUGCAGCGAGCGAGGAAGGAAACACUGCAGCUGUGCGUCGGCCAGACGCAAGCAAGCGAGCAAGCAAGGGGAAGCUCGCGCGAGCGGGAAAGGAGAGAAGUGCAGACGCGCGACGCAGCAGAGCCGCAAUCCUGCAGCUACCACAGCGAAGAAGACGGCGGAGCGGAGCAGCAGCAGCAGC